rnacentral:rRNA from 1 species
GACGAACGCUGGCGGCGUGCCUAAUACAUGCAAGUCGAACGCUUCUUUCCUCCCGAGUGCUUGCACUCAAUUGGAAAGAGGAGUGGCGGACGGGUGAGUAACACGUGGGUAACCUACCCAUCAGAGGGGGAUAACACUUGGAAACAGGUGCUAAUACCGCAUAACAGUUUAUGCCGCAUGGCAUAAGAGUGAAAGGCGCUUUCGGGUGUCGCUGAUGGAUGGACCCGCGGUGCAUUAGCUAGUUGGUGAGGUAACGGCUCACCAAGGCCACGAUGCAUAGCCGACCUGAGAGGGUGAUCGGCCACACUGGGACUGAGACACGGCCCAGACUCCUACGGGAGGCAGCAGUAGGGAAUCUUCGGCAAUGGACGAAAGUCUGACCGAGCAACGCCGCGUGAGUGAAGAAGGUUUUCGGUUCGUAAAACUCUGUUGUUAGAGAAGAACAAGGACGUUAGUAACUGAACGUCCCCUGACGGUAUCUAACCAGAAAGCCACGGCUAACUACGUG